rnacentral:rRNA from 1 species
UACAGAGGUCCCAAGCGUUGUUCGGAAUCACUGGGCGUAAAGGGCGCGUAGGCGGCCGGUCAAGUCGGGGGUGAAAGCCUGUGGCUCAACCACAGAAUGGCCUUCGAUACUGGACGGCUCGAGACCGGAAGAGGUGAGUGGAACUGCGAGUGUAGAGGUGAAAUUCGUAGAUAUUCGCAAGAACACCAGUGGCGAAGGCGGCUCACUGGCCCGGUACUGACGCUGAGGUGCGAAAGCGUGGGGAGCAAACAGG